UCACCCUGACGAGCUUCCUCUGUACAGAGACCACUACGAUGGCCACGCCCCCUACUCCAACGUUGGCUAUGGUAACGGAUACAGCGAGGCCAGGAGGACGACCCGGAGACGCCUACUUCCUGCCACGCCCACAGGUCGGAAACCAUCGUUCAACAUCCAGUGUUUGAGGAGACAGGGAAGCAGUGACGACCUGCCGAUCCCAGGAACCUACCACCCCACCUCACCACCACGCCGCACACGCACACAGACAUUUAGCAGUUAUGAGUCUCGUCACUCCUCCGGUCGAUCCUUGGCAGCCUCCUCGGCCUCCUGGGCAAACCCGUGUCCUCGCCGCGGUCGCCUCCUCUACGCUCCUCUCAUCCUGGUGGAGGAGGAAGGCAGCCCACCCUGGGGGGGGGGGGGGGGGGGAGGAGGAGAGGGAGG